rnacentral:rRNA from 1 species
UACGAAGGGUGCAAACGUUGCUCGGAAUUAUUGGGCGUAAAGCGCACGUAGGCGGCUUGGCAAGUCGGAUGUGAAAUCCCUCGGCUCAACCAAGGAAGUGCAUCCGAAACUGCUGAGCUUGAGUACUUAAGAGGAUCGCGGAAUUCCCGGUGUAGAGGUGAAAUUCGUAGAUAUCUGGAGGAACACCGGUGGCGAAGGCGGCAUCCUGGACCAACACUGACGCUGAGUGAGCGAAAGCCAGGGGAGCAAACGGG